rnacentral:misc_RNA from 1 species
GAUGAAGAACGUAGCGAAAUGCGAUAAGUAAUGCGAAUUGCAGAAUUUCCGUGAGUCAUCGAAUCUUUGAACGCACAUUGCGCCCAUUGGUAUUCCGAUGGGCAUGCCUGUUCGAGCGUCAUUAUCCUCCCUCAAACCUCGGGUUUGGUGUUGGACCCAAGUUGUGCGAUGAACAACUGGUCUUAAAGACAAUGACGGCGUCCGUGGGACCCUCAGUGCAACGAGCUUUCACAAGCACGCAUUGAGUUGCAAGGACCCUCCGGGCCGGUCUACUGUAACAUUUUCUAAAAGUUGACCUCGGAUCAGGUAGGAAUACCCGCUGAACUUAAGCAUAUCAAUAAGCGGAGGA